UACGUAGGGUGCGAGCGUUAUCCGGAUUUACUGGGCGUAAAGCGUGCGUAGGCGGUUUUGCAAGCCGGAUGUGAAAUCCCCGGGCUUAACCUGGGAAUGGCAUUUGGGACUGCAAGGCUGGAGUGCGGCAGAGGAGACUGGAAUUCCUGGUGUAGCAGUGAAAUGCGUAGAUAUCAGGAGGAACACCGAUGGCGAAGGCAGGUCUCUGGGCUGACACUGACGCUCAUGCACGAAAGCGUGGGGAGCAAACAGG
rnacentral:rRNA from 1 species